rnacentral:rRNA from 1 species
UACGUAGGAGACGAGCGUUGUCCGGAGUUACUGGGCGUAAAGGGUGCGCAGGUGGCGGCGCGCGUGGGGGGUGAAAUCGCCCGGCUUAACUGGGCGGGGGCCUUCCAGACGGCGUGGCUUGAGCAGCGGAGGGGGACGUGGAAUUCCGGGUGGAGCGGUGAAAUGCGUAGAUAUCUGGAAGAACACCAAUGGCGAAGGCAAUGUUCUGGCUCGUUUCUGACGCUGAGGCGCGAAAGCCAGGGGAGCGAACGGG